CAAAGGCUUGGUCCUGACUUUAUUAUCAACUUUAGCCAAACUUACACAUGCAAGUAUCCGCGCACCCGUGAGAAUGCCCUUACAGUUUCCAGCAUGGAAACAAGGAGCUGGUAUCAGGCACAUCAAUUAAAGCCCACGACGCCUUGCUCAGCCACACCCCCAAGGGAACUCAGCAGUGAUAAACAUUAAGCCAUAAGUGAAAACUUGACUUAGUUAAAGCUAAAAGAGCCGGUAAAACUCGUGCCAGCCACCGCGGUUAUACGAGAGGCUCAAGUUGAUGAACC
rnacentral:rRNA from 1 species